rnacentral:rRNA from 1 species
CGUACACUCCUACGGGAGGCAGCAGUGGGGAAUAUUGCACAAUGGGCGCAAGCCUGAUGCAGCCAUGCCGCGUGUAUGAAGAAGGCCUUCGGGUUGUAAAGUACUUUCAGCGGGGAGGAAGGCGAUAAGGUUAAUAACCUUGUUGAUUGACGUUACCCGCAGAAGAAGCACCGGCUAACUCCGUGCCAGCAGCCGCGGUAAUACGGAGGGUGCAAGCGUUAAUCGGAAUUACUGGGCGUAAAGCGCACGCAGGCGGUCUGUCAAGUCGGAUGUGAAAUCCCCGGGCUCAACCUGGGAACUGCAUGCGAAACUGGCAGGCUAGAGUCUUGUAGAGGGGGGUAGAAUUCCAGGUGUAGCGGUGAAAUGCGUAGAGAUCUGGAGGAAUACCGGUGGCGAAGGCGGCCCCCUGGACAAAGACUGACGCUCAGGUGCGAAAGCGUGGGGAGCAAACAGGAUUAGAAACCCGAGUAGUCCCA